rnacentral:rRNA from 1 species
UGCGUAGACGGUUUCGUAAGUCGGGUGUGAAAUCCCCGGGCUCAACCUGGGAAUUGCAUUCGAGACUGCGAGGCUAGGGUGCGGAAGAGGGAAGCGGAAUUUCCGGUGUAGCGGUGAAAUGCGUAGAUAUCGGAAGGAACAUCAGUGGCGAAGGCGGCUUCCUGGUCCAGCACCGACGUUCAGGCACGAAAGCGUGGGGAGAAAC